AUCACUUGGUCGGCUUUUUGGCUAAGAUCAAGGGGAGGGUCUGUUCUUAACCAGUUUGGUAUCGGAUACGUCCUCUAUCUGAGGACAAUAUAGUAAAUGGACUUUUGGAGCAGGGAGAUGGGAUAGGAGCUUGCUCUGUUCACUCCACGCAUUGAUCUGGUAUGGCAGGACCUCCAGGAACAGGGUACCCUCU